UUCACUGAGAUGAUAAAAAAUACUAUUAUAUUCUCUGAUGAUAAACGCAGAGGUAGUUUCUGUCUUGGAUAGUAAUGCUAAUGUUUCCCCAGAUGUGACUUUAAGCUUAUUCUUUCUGAUGAACAUGGUGGCAGGGUCUUCCUCUCCGUAACCAGUAAGGAAGAUCUGCAACUGAUUCUUAAUGAGAUAUUCUUUUGUAUCCACGGUGAGGUUUGUUGACAAAUCCAAAGUCAGUUCUGUCAGUAUCUGUAUGGCUCUCGUCUGCAGUUUUUUGUUAGCUUUAUUGCUGUAAUCAAGAAUCAUCUCCAGAUUGCUGAUCACCUGCUUGCUAGCAGACAUCUCGCGGCAAAGCCUUCUGCCAGUCCAUCCCUGAGCACGGAUAAGCUGGUACACCAGUCUGAAUGAUCCGUUCACUAUAUUCUCCCGUGCACUUACACUGAUAUCUUGGAUUAAUGUGUCGGAAUAGAUAGGUGCCAUGAUCUUGGGGAGUAGAUCGGGGGUGGCACAUAUGUCCCUGCAGUUGUGUUCGUCAGACGCCAGCCUCUCAAGAAUUGUCAGGCUUUGCAGAAUCAACACAUUCCAGCCAUUUCCUCUUUCAUCAGUGCAGCUGUCCCCUGCGCCUUGUUGGUCAUCGCCCUCUUGACCUUUUCUCUUUUUUGCUCCUCGCUGAUCUAGCUUUUUUCCACGAGAAACCAACCCUUGUUCUACAGCUGUAGACUGUUCCAACUUACUUUUAGGUAACUGAUGAUUUUCUCCCUGUCGGUUAUUCCAAUAUGGCAGGGUGGUAUCGAGCAGGGAGGAUACACACCGUAUUGCCCCAGGGUACUGUGUUAGAUCGAUAUCCCAGGCAAGAUGCGCCACAAUCCUGGCGGCGCAUUCAGUGAUCUCUCUUUUGCUGCUUCUCCACCUCAGUGUAUCGAUGAGCUUCUGAAUCUUUGGCCUUGAUGGCAGGAGCAGUGACCUUAAAUCCACCCCUUGCUUGAUGAACAUGUCCAGCAUCCUUGCUCCUGAGAGGUAGUCUUGGACCGAUUUGGAGUCCAGCAAGUCGACAGCAUAGUUGACUACAUUCCUACCUUUGAUAGAUGCAGGGUCCUGCCUGCAUUUUGCUCGGGUAUCAAGCAAGUAAUCUUGAAUUGUUAUUCUGCCCCACUUCUUUGGAAAAUUGCAUGCUCGGCUGAGUGAAGCAACAAGGGGUGUGCCCGAAAGUUAUUUGCGUACCACAAAAAAAAGAGUGCCCCUUGGCAGAGAACCAGAGAAUAGAAUAUUUCCAGUGCCGGCAUCAGGUUUGCUUGGGUACUGUCACUGUCAGUCAGUGGCGGACGCAGCGGUACGGCAUGGUCCGGCGGCCGCCACACCUAAAAUUUGUCCACAAACCUAAUACCCAGUGGAGCUUGGUCGCCGAGGUCAUGCCGAGUUCGCCGCCAUCUGCGACCACAUGCUCGUCCUGCGCCCUUCCUCCUCGAAUGCUCGUGCUCGCCCCUAGUGGAGGCGAGGGGAUAAGGCUUGUGGCCCGGCGGUGGAGAAGAGGGUUUGGCUUUGGACGCCGGCGGUGGAGGCUACUGGGUAGGCUUGGUCGUCAUGGGGGGAGAUGAGGGAGAAGUUUAGGCGGUGGCCAGGGGCAGCAGUUCGUUGGAGAAGAAGGUGGAGAUUUUUUUGGUGGGCAAUUUCGGUAUGUCACAGACAAACAGGCCAGUGCGCCCUAUAUUUCGGGAUCUCACGAGGCCUUAACAGAAUGUCACAGACAAAUGGUCCAUAAAUUAUGUCAAUAUUUAAUUUUUUGAUAUUGUUGAGUACAAAAGCAUAUACUUUGGGACGGAUGGAGUAUAAUGUUCUACUGAGUUUGCAUUGUACAUGUUUUUCUCUUUGUUUAAAUUCCGCCACACCUACAUUUUUUUCCUGGGUCCGCUACUGCUGUCAGUGUUGCCAUAAUGGCGUUGCACCAGGCGCCACAGCGAGAGCCCGACACAGAUGGUAGACCCAGACACGCAGAGAAUCUCUAAAACUAAAACCAUAGGUAUGAGCCGUAGGCAUAGAAGUCCAACAAACCCAAAAAAGCAUGCAUUAGGAAUAUCACGAGAUCUUCUAAACAAAAUGUGAUGAGAUUUAUCGAUCAUCUCGUCCACUAGGAUCCAAAAAAUCGAGCAUAAUCAUCUUCUCCGUGUCGCUCAAGAUCCUGUGCAUAUGCCGUUGCAAAUGAAAUAGUCAGGGUUCUUGUCGCCCCACCCGUCAAUGAGAAUUAAGUAACAUGUUCUUACAUUGUACGACAAAAUAUACUGUGGGAAUAUAUUGCAAAUCAAAUAACCAGGAUCCUGCACAUGCCAUUGCAAAAACAUGUAUGCCCUCACGGAAAUGCCAAUCAGGCAAUAAGUGCCCCUCCAUCACUGCAAUAUACUGUGAAAAUUCAAAUCUGCCCAAGACCACAGCAGCAAUGGUUUGACACAUUGAGGCAAUGUGAUUUCUUGAUCCGUAGCUGCACAGGGUAUUUAUCUAGGUGAGUUUAAUGGUUCUUUUUUUAGUUAUAACUUAUCAGAUCUUAUUUGGUUAUUUGCAGUUGACUUCUUUGUUCAGUGUUAGCAGGGGUUGCAACCGCAUCGUGUAUGUACAUGUCAACAAUCUUGUAGCUGCAUGUACAGUGCAUUUACUUGGUUGUUGUUUGACCUUCAGGUUUUAGACAUAUUGAAUUGCAGCCAUGGACUCUUCGUCGAUUAAAUGUGACAAGCUUUGAUCACCACAUACCAUUAUGACACCACAUGAGGCCAGAGCGGUUAUUUUCAAGGACAUGAAAGCAAGCAUGUGUUUGGUUAUGGCUUGUGUUCCUGGCCAGAGUGUGACUCGAUCCUUCACAAUGAGAUUGCAAGACUUCGCAACAUGCUCCAUCCUUGUUUUCUGGUGCAUCUGGAGGCAUAGAAACAGAGUGGUCUUUGAUGGAAUCCCUCCAAGCUCGUUGGCAAUUCUGGACACAGUUCAAAACGAAGGAAAUUGCUGGAUGCAAGCAACGUUGCCGGGUCCCGAUUGACAGGGUUGCGUGCUUAGACACUGCGUAAUAUGUUGCAAAAACUCUGGGCCGGCAAGGGCUUGUAGCUGCUAUUCAUCAUCUCGUCUUUGAUAGAUGAUACACCAGAUUCGAUUGAGAGAAAUAAGUUGAUGUUUGAAGUGGAAGAUAAGUUGAGGCUCCUAUAUAGGUUGCAGCUUACAUUUGCUUGAUGAUAUUGGCAUAUGGAAAAAAAAAGGGGAAAGGAGCAUGGAAGUUUGCAGAGAUCAAGCAUAGACGGUUCCAGUUAAUUAUCUGAUAGAGAACAGAGGUAAUAGCUAAGAGACACUAAUCACUGACCUGGCUUCGUGUAUCAUGCUAAUGGCAGUGAGGCACCAGAAGUCCUUCCUCCCCAGCGUGGUGACGAAGCCACCCAGCAGCACCACCGUGGACCAUGUCAGCGCCAGAUAGCCCAACCCCGUCACGGCCAUCAGGACAUAUGCCUGCCAGAGCACAUAGAUAUUCAGCGACUUCUCUUCCGGCCGCAGCCAAUUCGGGCCGCCGCCGCCAUUGCCAUUGUUCCUCCGAGCUCGAGCUCGGACCUGACCAGCGCCCAUCCUCAACAACAACAGGCAGGUCUUGCUACUGGUCUUUCAGGCUUUCAACCUAUCUAUCUUCUCAGGGCAUCUCAGGGAUGAUUUUGCAAUGGAAUUAAGCCGGAAGGAAUGGGGGCGACCAACCAGCAUGGUUUUCUUUGGUCAAAGCCGGAAGGAAUUAAUGGGGGCGACCAAUCAGCAUGGUCUUUUGGGUCCCUGGAAGUCUGGGAGAAGUUUGCAAUGUAGCUAGAUAGCUCCUUGGCUGCUUUUAUAAUAAGCGGCGUGUGAUACACAUGGGAUACGGCCUACCUUCGUCUCAUCAGCCUCAGCUGCUGCAUGCAAAGAAAUUAAGCAGGAUGCAGCUAGGAUGGGACCAAUCAUGGUGGUCUCUUGUUGGUCACUUGCUUUACGGAGUGUUCGCUGUAAAUUUUCGAUAAAGAGAGCUUUAUUAAAGUCACAUCAAGAAGGUACAUCCAAACAAAAUCUGCACAUGUCGACGCCGAGUAUUAUUAUAAUUAGCAAAAAUUUAUGCGGAGUCGGGCGGCGUGAUUUGUGGUUAGCGUAUGCUUUCUUUGUUAAUAUUCUAUGCUUUCUGUCAAGUGCCUGUUCGUUUUCUAUUAACUCGGUAAAUUGAACAUGCAUACCUACGCCAACCAUGUCUGGCCUCAGAUCAAAAGACCAUGUCUGGCCAGAUCAAAAGACAUGUGGACAAGGAAUACUCCAAAGUGUUAGUUGGAUCUUCAACCCACCUAAAAAGAAGGCUUAUUGCCAGGCAAGAUAAUGGCGAGCUCCUGAAUGAAGACCGGAGUAAGUGUAUAUGUGUGGCCACGUAGGCUUCUAGUCCUUUAAAAAGCCUCUUUUGGAGGAGAUGAUGGCGCAGCGUGCAAUGUCUAGUUCGAUCAUGCUCCCAUUUUUCACUGAAAUGUCCCAAUCACUAUCAUCUGCGGGAAUUUUAGAGUCAAUGUGCUCUCUCCAUCCAUACUUAACCCAUGAGCUUUUGAUGCAUCUCCAAGGGAAUUCUGCAGCUCUGAGCAUACUGAGGCAAGUAGGAGUAGGAUUAGCCUUGAGCUGUUUUAGAUUGUGUGCCACAGGUUUGCAGCUUUACUAAAUUAAGAAUGAACACAGUUAAAUUUCGCA